UUGAUUGCCCGGGAAAUGUGUAUGUCCUGUUUAUCAAAGAUAGUAAUUAUGUUAAUUUGCAGAUUUGUGCGUUUGUGUUUUUGUGCCUGUGUGCGUGCUAGCGUGUGUGGAUGCGUGUGUAUAUGACAUGGAGAGAAAGGAGGGUGGAGGUUGAUCUAGCUGGAAUCGCUGGGGCAGGUUGUGUCUCCAGGAUCAAACCUGUUUGCUCUCCUGUCAUACGAAACUCUGCUGAAGUAAUUCCAAGUGGCACUUGAAUCGGUCUUGUUGGAAAGCUUGUUGGACUGAAAAUAACCCGCGGUAUUUCAAGGCUGGCCGUGGUCCUGGUGUAAAAAAAAUCUCUCUCUCUCUUCCUCACUCGCUCUCUCUCUCUCUCUGCCAAUAUUGUGAAGAGGAGCUGGACUAGUAUGUAAAUACUUCAGGGCCCGAACCGCCAGGACUCUUCACCUUCAAGUAACAAUGAAACCCCGUGACCCUGAAUAUCUGCCCGACCCUGCUUUUGUCCCGUCCGAAGGUGGAUAUGCUUCCCAAAUCCUCACCGGCUUUGAACCGUACCCACAUUUCUCUACACCAAGACAUGGCUUUAAACGCAGAACAUCUCUUCGUAGAAAAUUCGCCGCUCACCUUUUUGAGUCCUCUGGCGAGCAUUUCAGAAAGAAACAGUGAGUAGUUUGUUAAAACAUUUAGAAUUGUGUUAAGCCAUGACGAGAUAAACAUGCUCAGUUAUGAUCAUCUUACUGCAUUAUUAAAGGCUAAAGGUAAAUACGAUCACAAUUAUAGCAACUUACAGUUGCCUAUGUGUUCAUGCAGUGGCAGGUUAUUCGCAGCAGUAUUGUAAUUCUGUCUAUCUAAAUGUGGAUAAUUAUUCUAAACAAACCUCUGCAGUUUUCUUUCUGUAAUGUGACAAGCUUGAGAUAAAACUAUCAACAGAAUUCAGUUUCACAUUGUUAAGUAGCAUAAUUAAGAGCAUUUCCUGUGGGAAAAAAAAUGUUGAUUUACAAAAAAGAUCUCUUCCUGAGACGUCCAAACUAUUCGCAAGUAAAGAUUUUUUCCUGAACCUCCUGUUCUUUUUUUGUGUGGUCUCAUUAAGUGAGUAUCCUGCUAAGUCCACGGAGUUACACUGGAGCUGUCCAAUCAGGGCAUUUGCACGGCUUGUUAGCGACAGUUAAUGAGGGUUCUCCGCGCACGGAGAGAAUGGCGCC
rnacentral:lncRNA from 1 species